CUGCUGUUCCUUCAUCGUCCCCUACUGACAACAUUCUGGACCUGUCAAGCAUUUCCUCGGAGUCUCCGGCCUCCGCUGUUGCCGCACUUCUCCGGGAACGGAUGUUCGGCGGGAUAACAGAGGCUUCGGAUCCUCGUCUUCUGGCCCUGACUGGUCACUUGGCCAGUUCUACCAAGGAGCAGGUGUCCUUCCAAUCUCGCUCUCGUGAGGAGCUCGGAUCCACGAUUGGAGAAAUGCUGCUGAUGGUAAGUUAUUUUUUCACUUCUCUUUGAGUUUGCUUUGUUUCUUUUCUUGACAAUUGUUCUUCCGUACUAGGUGUUAGGCCUGAUUAUGGAGGUGGAUGCCCGUGAUCUCUCUCUCCGGGAGUCCGUGGACCGCCGGAUCGAGGAAGCGCGUCGCGAUGAGAACCUGACUGCCACCAGCGACGCGAGGGGCCACCUGGCAGCCGCCCGGGAGCAGAUCCAGUCUCUCCAGGUGGAGGUACAUUCUGCGCUGGAGGCCUCGAAAAGAGCUGAGGACAGAGCGGUUG
rnacentral:lncRNA from 1 species